rnacentral:tRNA from 1 species
UGGGUUGUGGCUUAGAGGUAGAGCGCUUGCCUAGCAUGUGCAAGGCUCUGGGUUCGAUCCUCAGCACCACAU